rnacentral:rRNA from 1 species
UAAAGUCUAGCCUGCUCACUGACUUAGCGUUAAAUGGCCGCAGUAUUUUAACUGUGCAAAGGUAGCAUAAUCAUUAGUCUUUUAAUUGAAGGCUUGUAUGAAUGGUUGGACGAGAUAUUGACUGUCUCAUUUUAGAAAAGUAGAAUUUUAUUUUUUAGUUAAAAAGCUAAAAUUAAUAUAAAAGACGAGAAGACCCUAUGGAUCUUUAUAUAGUUUUUAUUAUAAUUAUUUGGGUUAAUUUAAUUUUAAUAAUUGUUUAUAUUUUGUUGGGGUGACAUUAAGAUUUAUUUAACUCUUAAUAUUGAAUUACAUUGAUAUAUGAAAUUUAUUGAUCCAGUUUUAUUGAUUAAAAGAUUAAGUUACCCUAGGGAUAACAGCGUAAUUUUUCUAGAGAGCUCAUAUCGAUAGAAAAGAUUGCGACCUCGAUGUUGGAUUAAGAUUAAUAAUGGGUGAAGAAGUUCAUUAUAUUAAGUCUGUUCGACUUUUAAUUUCUUACAUGAUCUGAGUUCAAACCGGUGUAAGCCAGGUUGGUUUCUAUCUUUAUUUUAUUAAGAUAUUUUAGUACGAAAGGACCGAGUAUCUGAUUUAUUAAAAUUUAUUAUAUGAGUUUGAUUAAUU